rnacentral:lncRNA from 1 species
CUUAUACAUGCUUUAGAUCAGAUCUAAACUAACAUAAAAGAUCUAUGAUAUAAAAAAUUUACAUAUAAAAUCUGACGUAAAGCAAAAACUGCAUCGAUCACAUCGAUGUCCUGAAUCAAAUCUAACCUUUAGAUUACAUUGAUUGAGUUCAGAACUCAUCACCUUAUCACAGAUCGAUGAUCACUACUAUUGAUAGGCAUGGUAUGAAGCUCUCACUAAUGUCGAGUAGCCAUACAGACCAUUCGAUCUCUAUAGAUCGUCCACUCGAAGCC